rnacentral:lncRNA from 1 species
UCACCUUCUCCAGCGCCAUGAUCUCUCCAAGUGUAGUAGCGGCAGCAAUGGCUGCUCUCAUGAUGUUUCUUUUACUCACUCCACCUUCUGAGGCUGCAAUUUCUUGCAGUGAUGUAAUCAAGGACCUGAGGCCUUGUGUGAGCUACCUCAUGAAUGGCACUGGGAAACCACCUGCUGCAUGCUGUUCAGGAAUCUCAGCUAUUCAAGCUUCUGCAUCAACCACGGCUGAUAAGCAGGCAGCUUGUAACUGCAUCAAGUCAGCUUCCAAGCAAAUAAAUCCAAGCCCCCAGUUAGCACAGGCUCUUCCAGCUAACUGUGGAAUCACCUUGCCUUUCACUGUUUCACCCAAUGUUGAUUGUUCCAAGUAAGAUACAAAUGCCAACUCUCUCACUCUGAUGACUUCCAUCAAUGUCUGCUCUUUUCUUUUCACUGCAGCUACCUAUACAUCUCUAUGUUAACCAAAAUUUGUUCCUUUUGCAGGAUUACUUAGUUGAAAUGGAAAUGGUCUGGUGAAUGCUUUUCGAUCCUAUAUAUUUCAAGUGAAAUAGAAUAGUUGAACCUCAUUUCAUUCAUGUCUGCCUGUGUGUAUGGGAAGCUAAGGAAAAAUCGCAAAACAAAUAAUUUAUUGUGAAUGUGUUAAUUCUAUUAUAGAUGGCCUCCUUAGAAUCAAAUAUAGAGAAAUUCAGUCUCAAUGUAAGAUCCUUAAAAUACCAAAAAAGAAAUAUCCAAUAUAUGAAUUAUUUAAAUUAUAUGAGACAACACAAGACAUAGCUUUAGCAAAAUAAUGAUAGCAUUUAGUAAUUCGUCGCUAAUGAAUUGUUAGAGGAUGCACAUCCAUGCCAAAAAGCUCAAGAUAAUAGGUGGAUAAGCCCUCUCAUAUUAUAAGAAGUAACGAGCUUGAUGGUCUCUAGAAUAUUGUCUUUUUAAAGAGUUACGUCAGUUUUAUUUUUCUUUUUAAUUUUUUUUCAAAUAUAAUCUUUUUAUGUAUAAAGAGGUCAUAAAAUAAUAGAUAAAGAAUGGGCCGGUUUCAACAAUCUCAAUUAUUAAAUGGAAUAAUAAUAAAAACCCUCUAAUAAUUUGAUUUGAAUUUUACUUUCCUUUUAUAUAUUCAUAAAUUAUACUUUACAUCACGAGUCAAGAAAAUACAAUAUUAAAGAUGUAAAUUGUUAUUAAUCAUGUAAACUACAGAAUAAAAAGUUUAAUUUAUAAAAAUAUAGAGAGAAAGUGAAAUAAAAAUCAAACUAUAGAAGGUUUUUUGUAAUUUUUUUUUAUUAAUAUUGAUUUUGAUAAAUGUAACUAUUUAUCUAAAUUGAAAACAUAAGAGAUGAUCUAUCUGGAAAUUUUAUAAUAUUUAAGUUGUAAUAAUUAAUAGUUACAAUUUUAUUUUUUUGUGUUUAUUUUUUUAUAUAUAUUUCAUAUAUUUUAAGUAUUGGUAGUUAUAAAAUAAGUAUCUUAAAAGUCUUCGUAGAUUAAUUAAGUAUUUAACAAAAAGAAAAAAAAUACCAUCACGAAUGCACCUAUUCGUACAGUAAGAACUAGAUAAUUCCCUGCACUACCGACCAUAACUUUUUUACAUGUAAAACAGUUAUGCCCAAAUUAAAAAAAAUUCUUCGAGAAUGUCAUUAAAUUCAACUCAACAUAUCAAACAUCAAACCUCUCAAUUAUACUAUUUGUUUAACUUGAGCUUAAAAUUAAAUUGUAUAUAAGUUGUCCUAACAUGACCCGGUCGACUUGACGAGUUAAAAGAAAUUUGAACGACUGGUAAAAACUUGAUAUUGAUUUUAAAAAUAUUUUCAAGAAGACAUCUUUUUUAAAAAAGAUUUUGAGACGACGACAUAUUGGAUAAAUCUCGAUCAACCAAGGUUAACUCAUCAAACUUGCGACUUGGAUUAUGAACUUCAUUGAGUUUAAUAACUUAGUUUUUUUUUAAGAAAAACUAUUUUUAUUUAAUUAUAUGAUAAAAAAUAGACGCCUGCAAAACAGAACACCAACUCAAUACCGAGAUAUUUUUCUGAGACUAUGAUAACCCUGUAUAAAAAAAACUAAAAUAAAUAACAAAGUUGAAUGUCCAAUAAACACAAUGUUGAAAUAUGAAAAAUAAAAUAAGAAAAAAGAAAGAGCAAAAGAGAAAAAGCAAACAAUAAUUAUUAGAGCAGUAACAUAGUAACAUGGUGAGGAGAGUAACAAUGAUUUUCCUUUUCAAUUAGUUAUCGUUACUAGAUAGCUUCCCAGUGCUUUGCUGCGGGCCGAGCCGAAUUUUUUGAAGCGUAAAAAGACAAUGCUUAAGUGCUAUAAAUGUAUUUUAAAAAAGAAAAAAAUAUAUUAAAAACUCGAUAUUAUAGAAAGAGAACUAAAAAUAAUAAUAAUCGUCAAUCUUCAAGAAUCAAAACGAUGAAAGAUGAAAUUGAAAAAAAAUCAAUGAAAAAAAAAUUCAAAAAAUAAUAAUACCAGCCAGCAAACACAGGUGAAAUUGAAAAAAAUCCAAGAUUGUAGAUCCAAUGAUAAAAUUGAAAAUAAAUUAAAAUUUGAUAAAAGAACUAAAAAUAAAAAUUUAAAAUAAAAACAUUGAGGGUCAGAACCUCAAAUAUCAUCAAUUAUUGAAUUGAAGGGCAAAAUUAAAAAAAUUUAAGGCCAUAAAUUCACAAAAGAAUCUAAAUAAAAAUAAAAAUCAAGAGAGUGAAGAAUAAAUCUGAAAAAAAUAGAAAACAAUUGAAAAAAUCAAAAUCAAAAUGAAAAUACAUUAUUUUAAAGUCAUGUUCAACCUGAUAAAUUGACUUGUGAUGUAGGGGAACAGGGCUUAGGCCAACUCGGGUUUCAAAAGAAAUUGGAAUAAAGCAUGAAAAACAAUAUUGGUAGUAAGUGUUUUUUGUUUUUUAAAAUGAAUAGAAAAUCCCAUAGAAAAUGAAAAAGAAAGUAAGAAAAUGUAAAUACCUAAAAACAAAAAAGAAGAAGAAGAGAAAAUAAACUUUUCCAACUAAUUAAGGUGACUAUUUACCUUAAAGGGAUAAUCUAUGGAUAAAAUAAAAUGAAAUGUUUGGUGAAUGUAUUUUAAAAAAAUAAAAUUCUGAAAAUACUUAAGAAAAAAAAUACAGAAAUGUGAAUAAAACUUGAAUGAAGGUGAUCUUGAGUAAUAAAAAUAGAGAAAUAUAAUUUAAUGAAAUUGAAAAUAGCUAAAUUUAAAUUUAGCAUAAACAAACAAAAAACUUAUCAAGGAAGCACCAAAGAUACAAGGUAGAGGCAUAAGAAGAAUUGAUUACAUUGUUGGCUGUAAGAGCAUCUCCAAUGCAAAAUGCUAAAUUGAAGAGCCAAAUUGAUAAAAUGAUUUUUUGAAUAGUAUAAAUAUUUUUUUUUUGAUUAUGUGCAUUCUAAUGACGAAAAGCUAUUUAAAAAAGCCAAUAAUAUUUUAAUAUAUUUCAUGUUAAAUUAAUUUUAAUAUAAUUAUAUAACUAAUUUAGAUAUUUUAUAUAUAAUAUAAUUAUGAUGUUAUUAAUUAUAUGAGUAAUAUGAGUAAUUUAUAAAAGUAAUAUAAAAUUAAUGAAGUAAUAUGAAAGUUAAAAGAUAUAAUUUAAAAUUAAAAUUAAAAUUAAUUUAUAUGAAUAUUUUUAAUUUUCAGUUUUAUAUGUUACUGUUAAAAAAUUAAUUUUUUAAAAGUAAAUUCAAAUUUAAAAUUUGAAAAAAACCACCAAUAUUUUAAAUUUUGAUUUUCAAUUUUUUUUUAAAAAAUUCAUGCUUUGAAAAAAUGACCGCCACCAUUUUAAAUUUAAAAAUUUUAAAUUUUGAAAAAAUGACCGUCAACAUUUUAAAUUUAAAAAUUUUAAAUUUUAAAAAAAUAACUGUCAACAUUCUAAGAUUUCAAAAUUUAAAAAAAUAAUCCAUCUAUAAAUAUUCUCAUAUACCUUAACAUUUUUUCUCAUCAUUCCAUUUUUUUCUCUCGAAUCAAAAAUAUAUUUCAUUAAAAUUCAUCAUGAAUCAUUCUAAUUUUAAUUUUUAUGAUGCUUUUGAUUUUGAUGAUGACACUCCUGUGUUUGUUUUUCACAUUGCAACCCCUAUGGUUGCUGAAGAAGAAUCGAAUAAUCAAGGGUGGAGAACAAGGUAUCGUGGCUCUAUUCUUGUUCACAAUAUUGUCAAUCGUAAUAGAAAGGAAGGUGAGUUAAGGUUAUAUAAUGAUUAUUUUGCUAAAAAUCCUAAAUUCACUGAAACUCAAUUUCGAAGAAGAUUUAGGAUGAGUCGUCGUCUUUUUCUUCGGAUCACAAAUGCAGUGGAAACUCAUAAUCCAUAUUUCAAACAAAGGACAGAUGCUCUUGGUGUUCUUGGUUUAUCUUGCCUUCAAAAGGUAACUGCAGCUCACAUAAUACUUGCAUAUGGUAUUCCUACAGAUCUUACUGAUGAAUAUCUUCAAAUUGGAGAAAGCACUGCGAUAGAAAGUCUUAGAGCUUUCAUCAAAGCAAUCGUAGAAGUUUUUGGUGAUUGGUAUGUAAGGGCACCAAACGAGGCCGAUAUUUGUCGAUUAUUAUCAAUUGGAGAGCAACGUGGAUUUCCAGGGAUGUUAGGGAACAUUGACUGUAUGCAUUGAAAAUGGGAGAAAUGCCCAAUUGCAUGGCAUGAGAUGUAUACUGGUUAUUGUCGUGAACCAACUAUAAUUCUAGAGGCGGUGGCUUCACAAGAUCUUUGGAUAUGGCAUGUGUCACGGGGUAAUUUUUCGCUCCGCGAAUAAACCCGUGCGGCAGCCUAGUGCCUCACUAGACUCAGUCUUCCCUCGCCAAUCCCACUCGUGUUUGCCUAGUAACUAAGCAAGCAGAAUACACAAGUAGAAUAAGAUAAUCAAAGUACACAACAAGCUUUACAGGAACUCUUUCCCAACCUUUAUUGAUCUCGUACACAAAGGAAUUAUACACAAAUCCGUAAGUGUGCUAUGCACAAAAAUUGCAUACUACACCAAGCUACCUCUAACUAGUGCUCUACAUGUUCUUGCAUGCCCCUACAUGCUAAACAUUCCCCACGCAUGUUGCUGCAUGUCUAUACAUGCCGCCCCCUCAACCAAAAGCUACAAUAAGUAUUUAUAGACAAGCAUUUACAAGGCACACCCCCCAUUUCUACUUUUAAGGAAGUAGUGGGACACUAUCUCACCUAUGUUCACCCAUGAACAUAGUGGCCCCAUUAUCUACCAAGUAGUGGGUAGUUUUCCCCCAUGUUCUCCAUGAUCUCAGCAGCUUGGAGAGCACCUCAGUUAUGCUCCCACAUUUUGCCCCCAUGAUACUGCCACUUCAACCACGUUCUGCCCCAUGAUCCUAUGAUCUAGGAAGACCAUGUCUGCCACUAGCCCACGUUUUGCAUGCCCACCUGACAGCCCUAUCUGCCAGCUCUUGCUUUGUCAGCUGUUGAGUCACUCGUAUGCCUUGGACAGUCCUUCGUCCAAGUUUUAGAUCAUGCCAAGUCGAGCCCCUGACUUGCACAAGCUGUUGCGCGCUGCCGAAUUUGCAUCUGCGUGCAGGCUGCCAAUUCCCGCAUUGCCGAAUUCGCAUCUGCGUGCAGGCUGCCAAUGUCUUCGCUGCCGAAUUCCUCGAUAGCCCCAGUUCUCGUCAGCCUAUGCCCUUGACGAGUUUUUCUGCCUGGCUUGGACAUUCCAUCGUCAAGCCCAUGUUCGUCAACAAUCUGUGCUGCCGAUUUUCCUUUGACGAACCUACAGCCGCAUAAAUUUGCGCUGCCGAUUUAUCCCACUGUUGGCAUGCCUGGCAGCACCCUUAGGCACUGUUUUGGACAGCCUGCCGAAGUGUGCACCUCGUGCACGUUUAACACUGUUACAACAUGCCUUUUUUGGAAUGCUUGGAUCAUUAAAUGAUAUUAAUAUUCUUGAUCGGUCACCUAUCUUCGCUGCACUUGCUGAAGGUCGUACUGCUCCUGUCAAUUAUACAAUUAAUGGGCAUGAAUAUACAAUGGGAUACUAUUUAGCAGAUGAGAUUUAUCUUAAUUGGUCAACUUUUGUUAAGACAAUCCCAAGACCAUUAGGAGCAAAGAGAAAAUAUUUGCAAGUAAGCAAGAGUCUGCAAGAAAGGAUGUGGAGCGGGCAUUUGGGGUGCUCCAAUCUUGUUUUGCAAUUGUACGUGGACCUGUUCGAUACUGGGAUGAAGAAACGCUUGCAAAUAUUAUGAAAGCUUGCAUAAUAAUGCAUAAUAUGAUUAUUGAGGAUGAAUGAGCAAUGAACCUUGGAUUUAACCAUGAACGUGAAGUCAAUUCCUUUAUAUCAGUGUCACAUGGUGAAAUACCAGAACUACAUGAUUUUCUUCAAAUUCAUAAUCGAAUCAGGGAUAGAGCAACUAGCUCUCAACUACAAGAAGAUUUGGUUGAACAUUUAUGGGAACAAUAUGGUAACUAGUAGAAUCAUUAGCUUUGAACUUCUUAUGUCAUCAUAAUUUUCAAGUUUUUUAUGUUUUUUUUCAUUAUGGUUGUUAUCUUUUAAGUUAAUUAAUCCUACUUAUUGUUGUUAAGUGUUAGAAGAACUUCAAAAAAGUAUUAUGAAUUGAUACCACUUUUAUAACAAUAUAUUUAAAAUAACCAAGAAAUUUCUAAAUAUUUAAUUAAAAAUACAUUACAUUAAACAAUAAAUAAAUCUAGUUAAUUAAAAAUACAUUACAUUAAACAAUAAAUAAAUCUAGUUAAUUAAAAAUUAAAACCCCUCUUUUGCAUAAUUUCUAAAUUUUUAUUUUGAAAAUACGCUGCAGAAAUUGGAUCCAAAUUAGAAAUAUCCAUUUUCAUAAUUUGUUCUUCUUUCUCAAUCCUGUCCAAUUUUUGUUUCUCUUGACUUUGUUGAAUCAUCAUAGCUUGUUGCUCUAACAUAAUCUUUUUGUCUUGUUUCUUCUGAUCCUCAAUUUCAACUAGAGUAUCCUUGAAUUAUUGUAAGAGAUUUGUUACAGUUGUCUCCCCAACUUUAUCUUUUCCUUGUUUACGUUUAAGUCGUUCCUUUGCAGCCUUCUGACCAAUUGGUCUAUCUUGAUAAAUCAACGAUUCACUGUCUUCUCCUAAACUAACAGAAUCAGGGGUAGAUGGAGCUGAUGAAAUCGAACUUGCAUUGACAUGACUUUUUUGUUUCUUGUUUGACCUUUGAUGUUGACUUGCACGCUCAAAUUGCCAUUUGGGUUAUUUUCUUAAGAUAACCCAACAAUGUUCUAGUUGAAAUCAUUUGCCAACGCAAGAAGCAUACAUUUAUCGAGCAUCAUUAAUUUGGUAAGUAAAAAAUUAGAGAAAUUAAAUAAUGUUAAAAUAUAUGUUAAACAAUUUAACAUGAAAAUGAAUAUUAAAAUUACCCUUGAUUCUUCGGUCAUUCCACUUUGCUGACGAUUUUCAAUUUGAGUAACAAAUCCAACAAAUUUACCGACUUCUCUAUUUAUUUCUUGCCUUCUAUUUGAGAUGCUUAUUUGGGAACAAUUAUUCAAGUUUCCUCCAUUCUCUAUAAAGUAAGCAUGUACUCGAACCCAGAACUAUUUUGUUUGUUGUUCAACUCCUGUAAUUGGAUUUUUACUUGUAUUUAGCCAUGCAGAGACAAGUAAACAAUCUUCCUCUGGUGAGAAGUUUUUACUUCUUUGUAAUUUUUUUAUUGUAUGGACAUUUAAAUUCGAGUAUGUUAAGUCAUCAAUUAACUGAUUAGAAUCACUUUGUUGAGAGAGAAUAUCUUCUGACUCACUCAUAAGAAAGUUGGUGAAAGAGCUUGGAAAAUUUGAAUCCAUCUACAUUAAAAAAAAAAAUCAAGUUAAAACCUUAUAAGAGAGUGUAAAAGAAGCGCACAUUCAAUGUUUAGCAAUUUUGCAGUUUACAUACAUGUGAAUUAAUAAUAAGCAUUGCAUCCUAUUUGUUCUAACAUUACAAUUUGACUAUUUUUUGGAACUAAAAGAGGAUUGAUAUACUAGUUUAAUUGUAUUUUCAACAAGACAAAAUAUAAUUAACCUCAAAUUAAAACAGACAAUCAAAAAUAAAUUUUAAAUAUGUCACUCUAUAUUUUUAUCAAUAUCAGCUAUUAUUAUUACUUCCUCUCAAUUUUGUCAAAGAUAACAAUAUAAAUAAAAAAUUGUUUUCCUUAACCCAUAUCAAAAACAUAAAAUAACAAAGAAAUAAAAAUCAUCACAAAUAUCAAAUUAACAACAAAAGGUCUACAAAAUCAAGAGAUAUUAAAGAGAAAAUAGAAAAAACUUUUAAACAAACAUACCUUUUAAUUUCAGCUAAUUAACACAACCGAUGUUAUUAAUUAACCAGAGAAUAAUUGAUUUUUGUUUUUCUAAAUUUGAGAGAAAAGUGAGGCACAAUACAAGAUUAAAAAAAAAACAAGUUUUUUUCCUUCUGCUUUUAAAGAAAAGAAAAAACUGUUGACCAACGGCUAUAAAAAUAGUCGUUGCCAACGGUAACUUUAUUUUAGCUAUUUCUACAGAAACAUGUAGAAAUAAUUUUUCACAUAUUGAAUAACCAUUUUGGCUAUUCUUUUCCCUACUGCGCUGGAGUUGUAAAAAAUAAAAAAAAUUAAAAGUACACGUUUUUAAAUUUAACUCUUCAUUUGGCUCUCCAGUGGUUGGAGAUGCUCUAAAUAGCCAUCAUGGCCGCCCAUAAGAAAAAGAAAGAGAGCUUGAGAGUAUUCUAGAAUUGUCAGGAAAAAACCUUAAGAAGCUUUAGAAAAAAACCAAGAAUUAGAGUGAGAGAAGUGAGAUUUUGUGAAAUUGAACACUUAAUAACUCAUUUAAGAGAAGAAUGAAGGGGGAAAUAGUAAAGGGAUAAGGAGAGAAGGACGACAAUCUUGGAGGAGAAAGAGAAGUUGAAAGACUUUUGAUUAGUAAGUGGUGAAAACUCAAAUCUUUAUUUAGUAAAGUAUUUAGACAUAAUGAUCUGUUCAACCACUAUGAAACAAAAGAAAAGAAAAAACGAUAACACAGAAUCAAUUUGCAAGAACAAAGGAUUUUAUUUGAUACUUGCUAUGUGAAUACUUCACUGAUUACAUCCCCUUUUACGUGGGUUCCCUAUCUCUAUAUAUAGAGUCUAGGCUUACUAUAGUGGGCAAUCCCACCAAAUCAGGUUGACUCAUUCCUAUGGAACUAGUCUUUCUCCACUAUCUUUCUCCACUGUAUGGGGACGUGGGAUACUAACCAACUAGGCUAAUCUCGUGCCGAGAAUUACUCUUGCCUAGACUGAUUCUUCUCAUGGCUUAUCUGCAUGGCUUCUCUGCAUGGCUAGUCCAGGUGUCAACCAACGAUCGUCCCAGAUCAUGACUCCCCUUGUUAGGACGAGCCAGCUCCUGCUGGUUCUAGAAUUGGAGGUGAGGAAACUGAGCUUGGCCAGUUUCCCGGGAGAACCAUUUUGCCUUACUUGGACGUUGACCUUUACUGCCAAUGCGGAAAGAUUCUCUUUCACCACGUCGAGUGGUAGUUGUUUUCCUUUCCACGAUAGUAUCUUCAGAUAGGAUGAUUUCCUGUUCAGUUACUAAAUCUUCCACCGUAGGUAGAGUUCCAUCGGGCUCAUCGUCCAGCAUGGAAGGCUCAAAGAGUUUCAAUUUGUCAACGUUGACCACAGAAUACAUCUCCAUGUAAGCUGGUAACUCCAAUUGACACGCAUUAUCACCAAUCUUACGAAGGAUUUUGAAUGGUCCAUAACGGAUUGGCUUGAGUUUCUUUCCGACUCCACGCAGUCGGUCUUUGCCCAGGUGCAACCAAACAAGGUCACCUUCUUGGAAAUGACCUUGGACGCGAUGUCUGUCGUGACGCUCUUUAUACUUUUGUUGAGCCUUUGUGAGCUGCUGCUCCACUUCCGAAUGUAUCUUCCUAAUUUGAUCCACAAACCGUUGUGCUCGUAACCUCUCGCCUUCCCCUUUAUCUAAUGUAGAGUUUGAUUCAAUUGUGAAUUCCAAGUCAAAAGGGCUCUGUGGCAAGAAACCCAAACACACUUCUGCGGGAGACUUGUUUGUUGAACCAUGUACGGCAUGAUUAAUGGCAAACUGCAGGAAGGGAAUGCUUUCAUCCCAAGUUUUGGGGUGACGAGCAUUGUAUCCUCGUAGAAGGUGAACAACAGUCCUAUUCACCACUUCGGUUUGUCCGUCAGUCUGAGGAUGGAAUGCGGUACUUCUUUUCAACUUAGUGUCCAUCAUGGCCCAUAAAGCACACCAAAAUUUGCUUAAAAACCGGCUGUCUCGAUCAGAUAUAAUCGAGUUAGGGAGACCAAAUAAUUUCCAUACAUUUUCAAAGAAGAGGCGUGCUGCUCCAUCACUGGUGAUCGUCUUUUUGCAGGGUAUGAGUACCACCAUUUUGGAGAAUCGAUCGACCACCACAAAUAGAUAGUCAUUACCUCGCCGGGUCAUUGGAAGGCCUCCCAAGAAAUCCAUAGAAAUACUCUCCCAUGGGCGUGUCGGAACAGGUAGUGGGGUAUACAAUCCCACCUUACGAUUAGCAGGUUUAGAUGUGCUACACAGUACACACCCUCUUAUGAAACGAGCCACAUCAUGUUGAAUCCGGGGCCAGAAAACAUAACGAGACAAAUUUUGUAAUGUUUUUGUGACCCCAAAAUGACCAGCAAUUUUGGAUGUGUGUGCCUCCCGUAUGUAUCUCACCCUUUCAUCCGAUCGGGGUAUGCAUAAGAGUUUCCCUUUGUAUAGAAGGCCAUCUCGUAGCAUGAACUCUGACGGUCUACUAGACAGCACCUCUUCCCAUGUGCUUUGAAAGUCAGGAUCUUCUUUAUACCAAUCAACAUACUCCUCAUGUAAAGCCGGAUGCACUUGCAUAAAAACUGAUAAACAAAUUGCUGUCACUGGAGGUCGUGACAACAUAUCUGCCAACUUGUUAUGGCUGCCUUUCUUGUACUUUAUCACCAAGUGAAAUUGUUGUAGGUAUGUCAUCCAUUUCAUGUGUCGGGCUUGUUGUAAUCGAGCUUGUGACUGUAAGUACUGUAAUGGCUGAUGGUCUGUGUGGACCACCGUUUCUUUGCCCAGAAGAUAAACACGCCAAUGUUUCACUGCUUGGUGUAGUGCUAGGAGCUCUUUGUCAUAUGUUGGAUAGUUCUUUGCAGCGCCUUGAAACAUCUCGAGCUUGUGACUGUAAGUACUGUAAUGGCUGAUGGUCUGUGUGGACCACCGUUUCUUUGCCCAGAAGAUAAACACGCCAAUGUUUCACUGCUUGGUGUAGUGCUAGGAGCUCUUUGUCAUAUGUUGGAUAGUUCUUUGCAGCGCCUUGAAACAUCUCUGAAUGGUAGGCUACUGGUCGUCCUCCUUGCAUCAAAACGGCUCCCAUUGCAUAUCCUGAUGCAUCCCCCUCAAUCUCGAAGGGUUUUUGUAAAUCCGGCAAGGCAAGAACUGGCGCUUCGCUUAUCUUCCUCUUCAAUAAUUGGAACGUGUCCUCAUGUGCCUUAGUCCAAACAAAGGCUUGGUUGGCCUUAGUCAAGGAAUGGAGAGGAGACGCCAGAAGAGAGAAAUUUUGAAUGAACUUACGAAGGUAUUGGCAUGCACCCAUAAAGCUUCGGACGUCUGUGACCGUACGAGGUCGUGGCCAUUCCGUGAUCACUUGAACCUUAGCAGGAUCAACUUGCAAUUCACCGCCACCCACGAUGAAUCCAAGAUAAAUUAAGGUUUUUUUUUCCAAACUCACAUUUCUUGCGGUUUAGGCGCAAGUGAUGUUCUUCUAGGACGGCAAAUACCUGUUGCACAUGUACGAGAUAUUCCUCCAAAGAGCAACUGUAGAUCAAGAUAUCAUCGAGAUAGACGAUGACAAAGUGAUCAAUGAAGGGCCGGAGAACAUCAUUCAUGAGUCGCAUAAAUGUUGCUGGGGCAUUACAAAGACCGAAUGGCAUGACCAACCAUUCAAAUAAUCCUUGUCGUGUUUUGAAUGCUGUCUUCCAGGAAUCCUCCUUGCGAAUUGGAACUUGAUGAUACCCCGAUUUCAGAUCAAGCUUGGUAAAGAUGGUAGCAUGACGUAGUUGAUCCAAUAGAUCAUCAAUACGGGGAAGAGGGUAUCGGUUCUUAACAGUAAUUUUGUUAAGUGCUCUGUAAUCGAUACACAUCCGCCAUCCUCCAUCUUUCUUCGGAACAAGCACAAUUGGUGAGCCGCAAGGGGAACUGCUGGGUUUAAUAACACCCGUGUCCAGCAACUCAGUUACUUGUUUUUUGAUCUCCUCAUUCUCCAGUACUGAAUUGCGAUACAUGCAAAUAUUAGGCAAUGUGGAGUCUGAAAUGAGUUGAAUUUCAUGCUCAAUUGCCCGUUUGGGAGGAAGUCCGCCUACUUCCGCAAACAAGUUUGUAUACUUGUUAAGUAACUCAUUCAACUUGUUGUCUAUUGCCUUACAUGAUAGUGUGAAACGAGAAGGUGUGACUUCAUCUGUUAGUGGUCGAAUCAUCAUGAGGACAAACUUCUGAGAUGCAUUUAUCAUUCUUCUCGCCUGGCAGGCAGUGACUAAGUCUGCCUUUUGAGAUGAUCGAUCUUUGUGGACAAUGUACGUCUUCCCAUCUUUCACAAGAUGAUAUUGUUGAGCCCGUCGGUGGUAAAUAGCAUCUCGUUCCCACAAAUAUGGAUUGCCAAAAAUCACUUGACAAAUAUCCAAAGGGACUACUUCACAGGUUACCUCAUCAAUAUAUUGACUAGUGAUAGCAAAACGAAAUCUGCACUGCCGAUCAAUCUUGAGUUCCACGUCCUUUUGUAUCCAUCCAAGUGGAUAUGGUUUAGGAUGUGGAUUUGUCUCAAGUCCCAAUUUUUGAACCAAACUGGCCGAGAUCAAAUUCUUUUGACUGCCAGUGUCAACGAUUGCAUCAAUGAUCUCUUGCUUCACUUGAAUUCGUAGGGUAAAAAGCUCCUCCUUCUCAUCAGGGGGGGUUAACAGAUUUGAGGUUGUCUCCUUCGGCAUUGCCAUCAAAGACAAACUCAUAUCCGCUUCCUCCAUCUGGUCGAGUUCAAUGUGAUCAUUGAGGAUUGUUGUUGUCAUUGUGCGCUUGCCCUUGUCGUCCUUUUUCCAUUUUGUAGGAAAAAGGUCAGGACGUAGUUUCCAGCACGUCGCUUUGUCAUGCCCCGAAACUCUACAAUGCUCACAAAACUUAGUAGAUUUGGAUACAGAUGAGGGGUUACCUUGUGUGAACUUCUUAAAAUUGUGGUUGCCACUGUUUCUCUCCUUGUCAUUGUCGGUAGGACGUUGCCCACGAGGUUUAUUCUUCUGUUCGAUAGCCAUAGCAAUGUUACUGGCAGCAGAGAUAUUAACGGCCUGAUAUAGCCGUAAUUCAUUUUGAAUGUGCUGCCAUAAGCCAGCCACAAAUUUCGUGAAGACAUCUUCGUGGUCCAGUCCAAUUCCCAGUGUAACUGCUAGUCUGCGGAAUUCGGUGGUGUAUUCUUGCACCGAUUGAUUCUGCCUCUGUCGCAAAUUGUGCCAUCGUGUCCAGCGAUCUUGAACAUAUCCCAUUGGGUAGAAUUCCUGUUGCAAGAGUUGAGUAAAUUCCUUCCAACUUAUCUCUCUAUCAUCGUUAUUCUUCAAGAAUGCAUUCCACCAGGCCAAUGCAUGGCUGGUUAAUUUCAAUCUUGCGAAUGCAACCUUCUCACCACUACUGAAACCAUAAAGUGUGAAAUAAGUCUCCAACUGAUCCACCCAAGAAUCUAGCUUCUCUGCAUCUAUGGUGCCGUCGAAUGUUGGUAUGUCUAUCCUGGCUUCAACUUUAAAAGGUUGAGGUCGUAUGCCAGUGACGAAUCGAGGGUGGGCAUCUUCAUCCUGGCUCUUUUCCUUUUCAGUCGUCAGACGAGCUCUUGGAGGAGAAAUGCCGUCAUCAACAUUCUUCAGUCCUAGUGAUGCCGAUGAUGAUGGUUGAGAUUGAAUCCAUUUUAGAACAGCUUCUAGUUGCGUGGUCAGCCUAUCAACCUUGUCUGAAAGGUUAGACUGAUCCGGUGUAACUUCUUCUUCUUCGCUUGACAUGCUUGAUGGUGUUGUGGCCUUCCUUGUUGAACGUCGAUGGGACUGCAAAACAGAGAGGGGUUCACCAAUUGUCUGAUAUCCAGACUUGGUCAGCACCAUUAACUAAAAGUUUUUCCACAGGGAGGAACGAUUGCUCUGAUACCAACUUGAUCUGUUCAACCACUAUGAAACAAAAGAAAAGAAAAAACGAUAACACAGAAUCAAUUUGUAAGAACAAAGGAUUUUAUUUGAUACUUGCUAUGUGAAUACUUCACUGAUUACAUCCCCUUUUACGUGGGUUCCCUAUCUCUAUAUAUAGAGUCUAGGCUUACUAUAGUGGGCAAUCCCACCAAAUCAGGUUGACUCAUUCCUAUGGAACUAGUCUUUCUCCACUAUCUUUCUCCACUGUAUGGGGACGUGGGAUACUAACCAACUAGGCUAAUCUCGUGCCGAGAAUUACUCUUGCCUAGACUGAUUCUUCUCAUGGCUUAUCUGCAUGGCUUCUCUGCAUGGCUAGUCCAGGUGUCAACCAACGAUCGUCCCAGAUCACAUAAUUAAACAUGUUUUACUAGAUUUAGUUGGUUUUGAUGGAAUUUUUAGGGAUUGAAGAUUAGGGUUCUUUAGAUGAGAAUUGAAUAACAUAAUUGUGAUAAACCAUGAAAAAUAAUGAGAAAGUGAGAAAUCUUGUUGAAAUGACGUGAAAAGAAAACAAAAUUCAUAGUGGAAAGAGAAGCAUGUGGCCGGCCAAAAGAGGGGACUUUUUUUAAAGUAUAGUAAUGUAUUAGAUAUUAGUGAAUUGGGCAUAAUUAGUGGAAAGUACGUAACAACCCCUCCCUCAAUUUGAUAAUUACCCAAAAACCAAAAUGAAAAUACACAAAUGCCCUUGCACACCCGUUUCUUUUUUUUUGGGUAUCUAGGGGUAAGUUUGUUAAUUCAAUGUGCAAUUAAAUAUGAAACGCCAAAAACAACCUUAGGUGGAUAGGUAUAUGUCAUCUUGUUUUUAAGGGUACAAACGUCAUUGCAAGAUGCAAAAAAUUUAUGUGAAAACCAAUAUGCUCUGCCCCUAGUUAAUUCAACAACGCCAAUUGAAUCGCCGUGUAAAUAUAAAAACACCCUAAAAAGCAAUAUUUUUCAGUUUUGUGAAGAAGACAUUAGAUGGGAUAACAUUGUUCUCUAGGACCACGGUGAAAUCGAUGCCUUUUAGUUUUUCUUAUAAUUAGUAAUUAAUUAAUUUUGCAUGAAGAUGAAUAUGGUAUGAUCGAAAAAACAGGAAUCCAAGAGAAGGAAACAAACCCAGGGAUUAACUUCUCGUUUGUGAAGCAAGCCUGACGUUUAUGUGAUUAAUUUUAUCCAAUUAAAAGGACGGAGACCGGAGUAGAAAUUAAAGAGCAUCAUCAUCAACGUCCAAGAAUGCAGCAAAUGGACGAGCCGCUUGCUAAGCUCCACCUACAAACAAACAAAAACUACUUGUUACAAAACAAGUCAAAGUACCAGCAAAAGACUUCUGUUUUUUUUGCUAGCUACUUCUUUCGCUAUAUAUACAUGUACCUGUAGCUUGCUCUUCCAUGGAUUGACUGUUUCCUUAACCAAUCCAAUUUAGCAAGCAUGACGAGUAACUUGGUAAUAAGCAGCCGCUGUUCCUUAUUCUUAACGUUGUUUUACUUGCUGGUUAGUGCCUCCCUUACAGCAACAUCAGCUCAAUGGGUAUGGCCGAAGCCAAGAACCCUGUCUUGGCCGAUCCCACUCGCCACUAUUCUCUCCCCAAACUUCACUAUCUCCUCCCCCUACCACCAACAUCUCUCCCCUGCAGUCAACCGUUACCGCCUCCAAAUCCUCACGGAGCACCACCGCCCUCUCGUUCCUCCCCCAGUCAACCUCUCCAACUCGUCCCCUCCUUUGCAGGCCCUGACCAUCACUGUCAAAGACCUCUCCGCCCCACUCCAACACUCCGUUGACGAGUCCUACGCCCUUGCCAUCCCCACUGCUAGCUCCACCGCCAAUCUGACGGCCGAGACUGUAUGGGGCGCCAUGAGGGGUCUGGAGACGUUUUCUCAACUGGUCUGGGGAUUGAAACCAUUGCUUGUUCCUGUUGGGCUCGACGUGUGGGACUCGCCUCUGUUUGAGCAUAGAGGGAUCAUGUUGGAUACCUCUAGGAAUUACUACCCAGUGGAUGACAUUUUGAGGACCAUCAAAGCCAUGAGUGCUAAUAAGCUCAACGUUUUCCAUUGGCACAUUACCGAUUCUCACUCUUUUCCUUUAGUGCUUCCAUCCGAGCCUGCUCUUGCUGACAAAGGGUCUUAUGGGAAUGACAUGCUCUACUCUCCAGCUGAUGUUGCAACAAUUGUUCGGUUUGGUUUGGAGCAUGGCGUCAGGGUUCUACCGGAAAUUGAUUCUCCAGGUAUAUUGAUUAUUUUCAUUAAUGCCCCAAGCUUAAUCAAUCGCUCAAUUCAUUAGGAGAUCGGGAAUAUAUAAUUAAUUAAUUAAUUACAUGCACUAGUGACUAGAGUAGCAAACAUCAUGCCACUACUGAUUUUGUCAAAUAUCAAGUUUGUUAGAUAUCUUUUUUUUUUUUUUUUUUUUUUGGGGGGGGGGGGGGUAAGGUUAGAUAUCAUGAUCAUGCAAGUUCUUGAUUAAUUUCCUCAGCAAAUUAUUAAUCUGGCAGUGCAGAUGCCGAACUCACUACCGGGACAUGGUGCCACAUUUGUUUAUCAGAUCAAACAAACGAUGCAUAUAUAUAUAUAUAGCCAGAAACUUCAUUUCCUAGCUAAAAUGAUAUGUGAUUGUGUACAGUAUGUAAUCCCUCACUCAAUCUACAAGUACCAGGAAUUUAGGAUUAAGCAUUUCUCCUAUAAUAUAUAGACAAUGUGUCAAUGGAUCAAUUUGGCACUGAUGCUGUAUAUUAUAUAUUUGGCUUUAGUUUGAACCUGAAGGUUGUUAGGUUCCCUUCACAGAUUUUCCUUGUUUUAAUGAAAGAGAGACAGUAACUUAAAUCAGCUCUAACUCAGCAUUUUAUUUGAUGCACUUAUUGUAAAUCUUAUUCAAAUUCGUAAAGCAUCAUCCUUAAUUGUAUUAAAAAAAAGAUAUAAAGAGACCAAGCGAUUUUGAAUUCGAAAAAGCUAGUUUCUUGCAGUGUGGUCCAGUUAAUGAUGAGAUUGUAAUUCUAUUCCACACUAACAUCAUCCUUUUUUCUCUCAUUCUAAGGCUCUUCUAAUGCCAAAUUAAGAGUUUCAAAAACUUAAUAUUUGUUCUUAUGUUUGAACUAGUAGAGUGUGAAAUGCAAAAGGAAUGUUAAUAAGAAAAAUGAACUGGUAAAAUCGUUUGAACCCACUGGGAAGAGUUGGUUUCUUGUAACUAUAACGCGAUGGAGGAGUGAAUAUAUCAUCCUUUUUUUAUCUGGUUCUUGAUUCAAAGGGUAUUUGAAAGACCUGACUUGUAGGAAUUAUUGGUAAUUGCAGCACAUACAGGAUCGUGGGCUGAAGCCUAUCCAGAUAUCGUGACUUGCGCAAACAUGUUCUGGUGGCCGGCUGAAAGCGAAUGGGCUGACCGGCUCGCAUCAGAACCAGGAACUGGCCAGCUAAAUCCUUUGAACCCAAAUACCUACCAAGUUCUAAAAAAUGUGAUUGGUGAUGCAGUUGCCUUGUUUCCUGAACCGUUUUUCCAUGCUGGAGGUGAUGAGAUCAUCCCAGGCUGUUGGAAAGCUGACCCGGCCAUUCAGUCCUUCCUAUCCAAAAAUGGAACUCUCAGUCAACUCCUUGAGAAAUUUGUGAACUCAACCUUCCCUUACAUUGUGUCCCUCAAUCGCACGGUGGUUUACUGGGAAGAUAUUUUGUUGGAUGCCAAUGUCAAGGUGGGCCCUUCAUUUCUUCCACCUGAGCAUACCAUCCUACAGACAUGGAAUAACGGUCCCAACAACACGAAACUGAUUGUUUCUUCUGGUUACAGAGCUAUUGUCUCAUCCUCAGAGUUUUAUUAUUUGGAUUGUGGCCAUGGCGAUUUUCCUGGGAAUGACAGCCAAUAUGAUCCACCACCAACAAGUGGUGACAGUGGCAAUGGUGGAUCAUGGUGUGGACCUUUCAAAACAUGGCAAACUAUAUAUAACUAUGACAUAGCAUAUGGAUUGACUCCGGAGGAGACCAAAUUGGUGCUAGGGGGUGAAGUAGCAUUAUGGUCAGAGCAAGCAGACCCAACAGUUUUGGACGUGCGGAUUUGGCCAAGAGCUUCAGCAAUGGCUGAGACUUUAUGGUCAGGGAACAGGGAUGAGUCAGGAAAGAAGAGAUAUGCAGAGGCAAUGGAUCGUUUAAACGACUGGAGACAUAGAAUGGUCAACAAAGGAAUCAGAGCUGAACCACUUCAGCCUCUCUGGUGCAUCAAGAACCCUGGCAUGUGCAACACAGUUCAUCCAAGUGAUUAGAUAAGUGUGGGAUUUUUGUUGACCUUGUAAUUUUCUGAAACUGAAUGUCCAAAUCGAUAUCCAUUUCUGCUAUCAGAACAUAGAUAUGCUGGAUAUGGAUUUGUGUGUAAACUUAUUUAAGAGUUACCGUAAUAAAAUUUAUUUUGAAUUGAAUUUUUAUCUUUGAAGACAGAAUGGAAUGGAGUAGUUUCAAGUUAAUGCGUCUUUCUUUUAUUUAAUCUAUGAUUCUAUUCAUUAGUUACAUUUAUAUCCCCUUCUUAUAUUUCCCACUUUGGAGACAGAAAAUUAUUGUCUUCUUUCGCAUUUGCACAUUCAUUCCUUUUGGUGGAAACCAGUUGUGUUAAUUGUCUGUAAGAUGCUUCAGAAUUGCUUUGUCAGUAAUACACUGUAUUUAUGUUCUAGUAAUUGACGCUAAUCAAAUUUCUUUCCUUUUUAAACUCCUCCAAGACACGUUCAUCUACUUGAUGUAGCCUGUUCUCUGUUUGGUGUCUUGAGGUUAUAUGCUUGCAUCAAAAGCAACAGAAAAAAUUCAAUCCAGAGAAAAAAAAUGGAAAAUAAAUAAAUAAACAAACAAAGUACCGAAGGAAACUUCCAAAGUCGUAGAUGAAGUUUUGUUGACCUAGUUUCAUUAGAAAGCUGUAGAAUAGAUGGAGUUUCUCUGUUUGCUACAAAAGCUAUCCGGUAACUAUUGUCUUUGCUACCUUGUUCACUUUAGUAACUGGUAUUAGAUCCCAGCCUCGCUUUUGGUUUUUCGAAUUUGUUCCUACUGGUGCAUUGUGUUCGGUUUUUCAAAAUAUAUAGAUCCAAUGAAAACAAUAAAUUAAAAUAUUUUUUUUAGAGUUCCAAUAAUCAGACAAAUUUAGAAUUGUUUUAGGGUCUUGUGUGAAGAUUACUUGAAGAUCAGAUAUUGUUUUCGACUUUGAAUAUUUGUUUCAUAGGCUAGGUUGUUACAAAUCACAAGUUGUCCAAUUAUUCGGCUUCUAAUGGUAAUCCACACGAACCACCACUGAAAAAUCUCUUAAACCCUUUUGGAAGAGAGAGAUUGUUAUAUCUUAGAGUGCUAACUCUGUUCUUUUGUGUUUUAGGUGUUUACGUACUAUACUCUACUUACAUCACCCCUUAGAAAAUAAGAGACAUAGCUUUUUAUUUAUAUAGAAAUUUGAAAACUCUAUAAAUGACAAAAUAUCAAUUUAUCCCCUAAUAAUAUCACGUAUAUUAUUUCAAGAUAAUUUUAGAAAUCUAUUCAAUCAAGUCCCUAUUUGAUUUUUCUAGAUUUUGAAUUGUAAUUUCCUAUAUAAAUUACAAUCUAGUUCUCAAUUUCUAAAACUUAUUUAUAAUCAAGUCAUACUUGAUUAAUCAUUCCAUUUUAAUUUUUGAUCAAUAGUUCUUAUGAGUGUUACUCAUUAAGUUCUCUAAUAAGUUGAUCCAAAUAUAAAUCAUAAUCCUUAAUAAAAUAGGAUUAGAUAAAUUACUUUAUUAUCAAUUCAACAAUUAAUUGAUUUAUAUUUAAAGAUCAAGUAUUAGAAAAGUCAUAAGUGGUUUGACUUAACAUUUCAGUGACCAGUUUCUCAGUGUAAUUAUUAUCUCUUCAUAAAUAAUGUUUCAAUUUAAACAUUAUAGCAUAGAGGGUGUCGACUAUGUCAAAUCAUGUUUGUUUUUAACACCAUAGUCAUUGAUUCUUUGAAUAAAAUUUAAAACUCUUUACAAAUUUUAUUCUAUAUUGUGCAAAGAUUUACAAUCAAUACUAUUUAAGAACAUAUGAAACACCUUUUCUAAUUCAUCAAGGGUGAUUAAUUAUCUCUUGAUUACUUAAAUACUUUCAUAUAGUUCAUGGUAUACUCAAUAUAUGCCAAUUUGUUACCAUUGAUUAGGAGAAAGUGUAAUGGGAUCAAAACAUAACACUCCCUAUAUAAGAUAACUUAGUGACCUCAAGUUUAAGGAUCACUUACACAAUCAUUACGUGAGCCUUUUUAUAAACACAUAUGAUCUUUCCCUGUGAAAUUCUUAUGCGAGUCAAUUCAGUGAAUAUGUCAUCUGACAAACAUCUAUAUAUUAGUUCUAGGUAUCCCUCAUUCCCCAACUUAUGAGAACAACUAUUUCUUUUCAUAAAGAAAAAAAAACAUAAUAUGUAUCAGUCUAAAUAGCUCUAAUUAAUAUUCAGUCUUAAUAGAGCAUUGUCCAAGAACAUUUUAUUAGGAAUAAUACUUUGAUGCAAUAGGGAUCUCAUAAUUAUAACAAUUUUAUAAUUUUAUUUACAAAGUAUUUUGUCCGAAGAACUUUAUCGUUACUCUAGAUUCAUUGAUCAAAUAUUUAAUUUAUUAAUCGAAUAUUUGAUGAAUAUUAAAUAUAAAUAAGGUUUUAUUAAUAAAGUAAAUAUAUUUACAUGAACAAAAUUAAUACCACAUAUAAUCAAUUGACUAGCUACAUGACAUAUACACCAACAUAUUAACCUUAAGUAAGAUCAAGGGAUCUGCAGGCUAUAAAUUUCAAGUAAGUGACAAUAUGGUAAUUGUGAACUUAAUUUUUUAAAAAAAGGUAUAGGUAAUUCUGCUAAUCAUUUUGGCAAUCAUUACUCAAGGCUUAAGUAAAUCAUUUUUAAAGUUAUGUUUUAUUUUCUUUGAAUGAAUUGUCCCUGUGCUUUGUAACAAAGAUUUUGCGUUGUUUGUAUUUCUGUUUGAGUGCAGAAUUCAAUGAAGAAGGUUCAAGAAUCAAUGGACAUAAAAGAAUACAUGCAAGGCCCAGCUGGUAAGAAAUUUAAAGCAGUGUCAAUUGUUGCAGUUUCUAAUAGAGUUCAUCCUCAUGAACGUGCAGCACUUCAGUAUUUUGACAGCAUACGUCUAAAUUCUGACCUCAUUGCGUCGUGUAUCAAGCAGAGCAGUUGUCUCCAAUAACAAUGGAUUUGUGGUGAUAUUGAUGUGCUUUUAGACAAAAGCUAGGGUCCUCUUGGCAUAAUUUCAAGGAAAUUGGAAGAGUCACAAGUAUAGACCUCAUUGAUUCCCUUGGGUUAAUACUUGCAGGCAUUGUCUGCAGUCAAGAGAACAUCACUAUAAUGAACGUAUGAUGUUUCCUGUCCGCAACAUAACCAGUCUAAUCUCACUGAUUGCACCGACAUUUGUUUUGGUAGUCUUUUGCUUCAUCGUCAACACAUGGGAUGAACCAAGCACCAUAAACACCACCACUUGUAGGGGAAGAUAUUUUUUGUGUUGUAAUAUAAUAUGUUUAGUCUAAGUUGAACAACAUAAGUAACACAAAGGAAAGCAAAUUCUGAACAGCCAGGCUAUUGUCAACAUAGACAAUAGCCUGAUGUCCUUGCUUUACUUUUUCGAUUAAUCUAUUAGAAAAAAUUAUGGAUGGUUGAGAUAUCCUUUCAGGAGACUGAGUGUCAGAUUGAUUUUCUGUUCUUUAUACUUUUAAUUAGGAACUAGAUAUAAUAAAUGGUGCUAACUCAAAAUGUUUACACUCAGGGUUUGACUUUACUUCUGGAUUCCGUAUUAGGUUUCGGCCUGCUGAUGUUAUUUGCUCUAAUGGAUUAUGAAUGCAACUGGAUGCGUCCAGUUGCAUAUUCCAUCCUUCAGUAUAGCACUAAUAACGUUUUUACUCAGGAUGGAGUGGUCAGAAUUAGUGAAUUUUUCGGACUGCUCAACAGGAUUAGCCUCUCGUGGAAAAUAGAGGCACUAGGGACUCGGGAGAAGACAGAGCACCCUUUUGACGCUGAUUAUUGAACAAUAAGUCUUGUUUCAGGCAAUUAGUAUUGCAGACAUUCUUGCAUGAGUUAAUAUGGGACAAUUUUCUUCAUUAAUCCCACCUAAUUUGACUUUUAUACUCCUUUGUUUGGAUCAUUUCUUCUUUUUAUUUUCUUGCACUCAUUAGCAACUGAAUCAUUGCAAUUUUAGAAUUUUCUAACCUUUCGUGUACAUGUGAGUAUCCCUCCAGGCUCACUAUAAAAUUGAAACAAGUGUAAAGGGAAAUGCUCCAAGUUAGUCUUAUCUCACCUUCUCCAGCGCCAUGAACUCUCCAAGUGUAGUAGCGGCAGCAAUGGCUGCUCUCAUGAUGUUUCUUUUACUCACUCCACCUUCUGAUGCUGCAAUUUCUUGCAGUGAUGUAAUCAAGGACCUGAGGCCUUGUGUGAAAUACCUCAUGAAUGGUACUGGGAAACCACCUGCUGCAUGCUGUUCAGGAAUCUCAGCUAUUCAAGCUACUGCAUCAACCACGG